UACAGAGGUCUCAAGCGUUGUUCGGAUUCAUUGGGCGUAAAGGGUGCGUAGGUGGCGCGCUAAGUCAGGUGUGAAAUCUCGGAGCUUAACUCCGAAACUGCAUUUGAUACUGGCGUGCUUGAGGGUCGGAGGGGAGACUGGAAUUCUCGGUGUAGCAGUGAAAUGCGUAGAUAUCGAGAGGAACACCAGUGGCGAAGGCGAGUCUCUGGACGACACCUGACACUGAGGCACGAAAGCUAGGGGAGCAAACAGG
rnacentral:rRNA from 1 species